AAAGUUAAUUAAAUCCGAGUUUAGCCUGGUUAGUACUCGGUGACAGACGUAGGAACAUGAAACAUACUAUAAUAAUUCAGGUUUUUUUAAGUUUUAUUUUCUAUUUUUGGAGUAAAAAUGCUUCUGGGCAAAUUAUGGAGUUUCCAGGCCUGUAUUAUAAGAAAACUAACUUCGACGUAGUCCACCGUAGCUCCUACAAUAUGACUGAUUGUGCUUCCGAGCUGAUUAAUUGUUGGGAAAUCAUCAGGCCAGAUAUAAUAUGUGACUACGAAGAACGAUACUACGAGUCAGUUUGUGGAGCCCUGCGCAUGCACUGCAGUGACAAACACGGAGCAGUCGAUGUGAACUACGGCGACCGGGCAUUUUCAUUAUCAUCAUUGGUAUGCGAGAGUCACCGUAUUUACACCCGUCGUUACGUCAGUAUACCACGGAACGAUUCUCGAGCUAUGGCUAUCUUGCGCGCUCUCAAUUAUACAGAUGAGUUGGGCGGGGAUUUAAAUACAUUAAGAUCUAUUUAAUAGAAGAUUUACGAGAAUCUAAAAUACUAAUAUUUCUUGGCUAUUCAUAUGUGGAUUGAAUCAAAUAAAACAUAUGUUUUAUCUUCA